GGGUCAGUAGGUUGGUCGUGCCACCGGUACGUACUGGUCUCACUGAUUCCUCCUUCCUGAAGAACCGUAGUGCCAUUAAUUUGGUGUUGCGGGGAAACAGGACUGUUACUUUGAAAAAAUUAGAGUGUUUAAAGCAAGCUAACGCUUGAAUACAUUAGCAUGGAACAAUGAAAUAGGACGAUCGAUCCUAUUUUGUUGGUUUCUAGGAUUGACGUA
rnacentral:rRNA from 1 species